rnacentral:rRNA from 1 species
GACGAACGCUGGCGGCGUGCCUAAUACAUGCAAGUAGAACGCUGAAGAGAGGAGCUUACUCUUCUUGGAUGAGUUGCGCACGGGUGAGUAACGCGUAGGUAACCUGCCUUGUAGCGGGGGAUAACUAUUGGAAACGAUAGCUAAUACCGCAUAACAAUGGAUGACACAUGUCAUUUAUUUGAAAGGGGCAAUUGCUCCACUACAAGAUGGACCUGCGUUGUAUUAGCUAGUAGGUGAGGUAAUGGCUCACCUAGGCGACGAUACAUAGCCGACCUGAGAGGGGGAUCGGCCACACUGGGACUGAGACACGGCCCAGAAUCAUACGGGAGACAGCAGUAGGGAAUCUUCGGCAAUGGGGGCAACCCUGACCGAGCAACGCCGCGUGAGUGAAGAAGGUUUUCGGAUCGUAAAGCUCUGUUGUAAGUCAAGAACGGGUGUGAGAGUGGAAAGUACACACUGUGACGGUAGCUUACCAGAAAGGGACGGCUAACUACGUG